UGGCUCAGAGGUUAAGAGUACUGGAUUGUUCUUCCAGAGGUCCUGAGUUCAAUUCCCAG
rnacentral:tRNA from 1 species